CGGCUCAUCGCAUCCUGGGGCUGAAGCAGGUCCCAAGGGUUGGGCUGUUCGCCCAUUAAAGCGGUACGCGAGCUGGGUUUAGAACGUCGUGAGUCAGUUCGGUCCCUAUCCUCUGCAGCCGGAAGGAACUUGAGAAAAUCUGUCCCUAGUACGAGAGGACCGGGAUGGACGCAGCUCUCGUGUGCCAGUUGUCCUGCCAAGGGCACUGCUGGUUAGCGACCUGCGGAAGGGAUAAGCGCUGAAAGCAUCUAAGUGCGAAGCCCAUUUCUAGAUGAGGUUCCUCACUGGGUUAACCAGGUAAGGCCCGUGAUAGACCAACACGUUGAUAGGCCGGAGGUGUAAGCGUGGUAACACGUUCAGCCGACCGGUACUAAUCGGCCGAGGGCUUGGAUUGA
rnacentral:rRNA from 1 species